rnacentral:rRNA from 1 species
AUUGAACGCUGGCGGCAGGCUUAACACAUGCAAGUCGAACGGUAACAGGAAGAAAGCUUGCUUUCUUCGCUGACGAGUGGCGGACGGGUGAGUAAUGCUUGGGAAUCUGCCUUAUGGAGGGGGAUAACUACGGGAAACUGUAGCUAAUACCGCGUAAUGUCUUCGGAUUAAAGUGUGGGACCUUCGGGCCACAUGCCAUAAGAUGAGCCCAAGUGAGAUUAGGUAGUUGGUGAGGUAAAGGCUCACCAAGCUGACGAUCUCUAGCUGGUUUGAGAGGAUGACCAGCCACACUGGAACUGAGACACGGUCCAGACUCCUACGGGAGGCAGCAGUGGGGAAUAUUGCACAAUGGGCGCAAGCCUGAUGCAGCCAUGCCGCGUGAAUGAAGAAGGCUUUCGGGUUGUAAAGUUCUUUCAGCGAUGAGGAAGGUGCUAUAUCUAAUAGGUGUAGCAAUUGACGUUAGUCGCAGAAGAAGCACCGGCUAACUCCGUGCCAGCAGCCGCGGUAAUACGGAGGGUGCGAGCGUUAAUCGGAAUAACUGGGCGUAAAGGGCACGCAGGCGGUUGUCUAAGUCAGAUGUGAAAGCCCCGAGCUUAACUUGGGAAUUGCAUUUGAGACUGGGCGACUAGAGUCCUCUAGGGAGGGGUAGAAUUCCACGUGUAGCGGUGAAAUGCGUAGAGAUGUGGAGGAAUACCGAAGGCGAAGGCAGCCCCUUGGAGAGAGACUGACGCUGAGGUGCGAAAGCGUGGGUAGCAAACAGG